CUGCGAAUGGCUCAUUAAAUCAGUUAUCGUUUAUUUGAUAGUACCUUACCACUUGGAUAACCGUGGUAAUUCUAGAGCUAAUACAUGCUAAAAACCCCGACUUCGGAAGGGGUGUGUUUAUUAGAUAAAAAACCAAUGCCCUUCGGGGCUCUUUGGUGAUUCAUGAUAACCUAACGGAUCGCAUGGCCUUGCGCCGGCGACGGUUCAUUCAAAUUUCUGCCCUAUCAACUUUCGAUGGUAAGGUAUUGGCUUACCAUGGUUUCAACGGGUAACGGGGAAUUAGGGUUCGAUUCCGGAGAGGGAGCCUGAGAAACGGCUACCACAUCCAAGGAAGGCAGCAGGCGCGCAAAUUACCCAAUCCCGACACGGGGAGGUAGUGACAAUAAAUACUGAUACAGGGCUCUUUUGGGUCUUGUAAUUGGAAUGAGUACAAUUUAAACCCCUUAACGAGGAACAAUUGGAGGGCAAGUCUGGUGCCAGCAGCCGCGGUAAUUCCAGCUCCAAUAGCGUAUAUUAAAGUUGUUGCAGUUAAAAAGCUCGUAGUUGAAACUUGGGUCUGGCUAGCGGGUCCGCCUCACCGCGUGCACUUGUCCGGCUGGACCUUUCCUUCUGGAGAACCUCAUGCCCUUCACUGGGUGUGUUGGGGAACCAGGACUUUUACUUUGAAAAAAUUAGAGUGUUCAAAGCAGGCCUUUGCUCGAAUACGUUAGCAUGGAAUAAUAGAAUAGGACGUGCGGUCCUAUUUUGUUGGUUUCUAGGAUCGCCGUAAUGAUUAAUAGGGAUAGUCGGGGGCAUCAGUAUUCAAUUGUCAGAGGUGAAAUUCUUGGAUUUAUUGAAGACUAACUACUGCGAAAGCAUUUGCCAAGGAUGUUUUCAUUAAUCAGUGAACGAAAGUUAGGGGAUCGAAGACGAUCAGAUACCGUCGUAGUCUUAACCGUAAACUAUGCCGACUAGGGAUCGGGCGAUGUUUCUAUCUUGACUCGCUCGGCACCUUACGAGAAAUCAAAG
rnacentral:rRNA from 2 species